rnacentral:rRNA from 1 species
AAGGGAAGCGAGAUGGUGACAUGGAGCAAAUCCCAAAAAUAACGUCCCAGUUCGGAUUGCAGCCUGCAACUCGGCUGCAUGAAGCUGGAAUCGCUAGUAAUCGCGGAUCAGAAUGCCGCGGUGAAUACGUUCCCGGGUCUUGUACACACCGCCCGUCACACCAUGGGAGUAGGUAAUGCCCGAAGUCGGUGACCUAACCGGAAGGAAGGAGCCGCCGAAGGCAGGACUUAUAACUGGGGUGAAGUCGUAACAAGGUAUC